CGUUCUCGCCGGAUGUAGGAACCGACCCGGGGACCGCCGGGGCAACCCGGCGCCCCCGAGACGGGGCGAACCACGGUGAAAUGACGGAUCGUCGGCCCCGCGCCGGCGACUCGCCGAAUGAGUUUCUGACCUAUCAACUCGAGACGGCGGGGUAGAGGCCCGCCGCGGUAACGACGGGUAACGGGGAAUCAGGGUUCGAUUCCGGAGAGGGAGCCCGAGAAACGGCUACCACUUCCAAGGAAGGCAGCAGGCGCGCAACUUACCCUAAUCUCGAUUCGAGGAGGUAGUGACAAAAAUAACAAUACCUGGCCUCAAUAGGUCGGGUAAUUGGAAUGAGUACAAUUUAAAUCCCUUAACGAGGAUCAAUUGGAGGGCAAGUCUGGUGCCAGCAGCCGCGGUAAUUCCAGCUCCAAGAGCAUAUAUUAAAGUUGUUGCAGUUAAAAAAGCUCGUAGUUGA
rnacentral:rRNA from 1 species